rnacentral:lncRNA from 1 species
GCAGGACCAAGCUCAUGUGCCCGCAGGGCUCUCAGCCUUACCUUCUCGCCGGACUGGGGAGCAGACCCGGCCACAUCCAUUGCUGGUGCAUCGUCUUCCUGCCCCACAGUCCUGGUCUACCUUGCAUUGAGGGUGAGAAGGACGGCGAGGAGGAGCAGGAGGCAGAGGCCACCCAGCUUCAUGUUGCCGGCUGAGGACUGGUCGGUGGUAACGCAGCCAAGACUAGAGCAGCUGACAUUUAUACUCUCCUGGAAUGGUUAAACUGGGC